AACGCGUGGGAAUAUGCCCUUUGGUACGGAACAGUCCCGGGAAACUGGGUUUAAUACCGUAUGUGGUCCUUCGUAGUGGAUACGGGGGACGAAAGAUUUAUCGCCAAAGGAUUAGCCCGCGUUGGAUUAGGUAGUUGGUGGGGUAACGGCCUACCAAGCCGACGAUCCAUAGCUGGUUUGAGAGGAUGAUCAGCCACACUGGGACUGAGACACGGCCCAGACUCCUACGGGAGGCAGCAGUGGGGAAUCUUAGACAAUGGGGGCAACCCUGAUCUAGCCAUGCCGCGUGAGUGAUGAAGGCCUUAGGGUUGUAAAGCUCUUUCAGCUGGGAAGAUAAUGACGGUACCAGCAGAAGAAGCCCCGGCUAACUCCGUGCCAGCAGCCGCGGUAAUACGGAGGGGGCUAGCGUUGUUCGGAAUUACUGGGCGUAAAGCGCAUGUAGGCGGACCAGAAAGUUGGGGGUGAAAUCCCGGGGCUCAACCCCGGAACGGCCUUCAAAACUAUUGGUCUGGAGUUCGAGAGAGGUGAGUGGAAUUCCGAGUGUAGAGGUGAAAUUCGUAGAUAUUCGGAGGAACACCAGUGGCGAAGGCGGCUCACUGG
rnacentral:rRNA from 1 species